rnacentral:rRNA from 1 species
GAGUGAUCGAAAGAUGAAAAGCACUUUGAAAAGAGGGUUAAAUAGUACGUGAAAUUGUUGAAAGGGAAGCGCUUGUGACCAGACUUGGGCCCGGUGGAUCAUCCAGCGUUCUCGCUGGUGCACUCCGCCGGGUUCAGGCCAGCAUCAGUUCGCCGCGGGGGAAAAAGGCUUCGGGAACGUGGCUCCUACGGGAGUGUUAUAGCCCGUUGCAUAAUACCCUGGGGCGGACUGAGGUUCGCGCUCCGCAAGGAUGCUGGCGUAAUGGUCAUCAGCGACCCGUCUUGAAACACGGACCAAG